AUUGAACGCUGGCGGCAUGCCUUACACAUGCAAGUCGAACGGCAGCACGGGAGCAAUCCUGGUGGCGAGUGGCGAACGGGUGAGUAAUACAUCGGAACGUGCCCAGUAGUGGGGGAUAACCCGGCGAAGCCGGACUAAUACCGCAUACGACCUACGGGUGGAAAGACAGGGGAGUCGCAAGACCUUGCGCUAUCGGAGCGACCGAUGUCAGAUUAGCUUGUUGGCGGGGAAAAGGACCCACCAAGGCGACGAUCUGUAGCUGGUCUGAGAGGAC
rnacentral:rRNA from 1 species